AUGGAAACACGUUGAAAAGGGUUGGAAUGUGACAGUGUAAACUGAACAAACCUGAACAAGGUAUCGUUGUACAUUUUAAUCCGCACAAUACUUACGGUUGCAUUUAAAUAUGUAUAAGUAAAAUGAUAUUAUUUUAUGGUGCUUACUUCUAUUCAACUUGUUUAUCCUUUAAAAUAAAAUAUUAUGGAUAUAUAACAAAUUCUUUUGCAAACACGUGGAUUUUCGACUAAAAAACGCAAUGCAAAUAACCAGCUAAAAUCGACAAAAAGGUUAUUCCAUUAUCUAGGGGACAUCAUCUAAUUCAAACAAGUGUGUUUUGGCCUAUUAAAGGUUUCUCUUUCUCGUUACGGCCGAGUUCAUUAGGUAAUAAAAAGAUUAAUAAAAGAUGGAGAAAAGUAAUAAAACAUUAUUUUAAUAUAACCUUUAGAUAAAUCAAGUAAGCUUGUUUGAUGUUAAUUUAGUAUCUGCUAACCCAUAUAAAUGUGUGCACCCAACCAAGUAAACACACAAACAUACAAAAUACAAACCAAGUUCACAUCAAACCCAUAUGUGCAAGGUUUCGAAAUAUUAUCUAGUCAAUGGAACAAACUGGUGAAUCUUAAUCAAACAAAAAAUUGGAGUUAAAAGGGUUAGAAUAUUAUUAAAUUGAUAAUGACAACAACGUAGUGUCUUAAGCAUUUGAAACGUGAUAGAACACAUUGUUUUAAUCACUUGUACACUAAUGCAUCAUCUACUUAUACAUUUUAAUCCGCAUAACAUUGACAAAGACAACUACUAAGACGUCAACAAAAAUGAAAAGGAAAUCACAGUACCUUUGCAUUCUUUUGUAAAACAUUAUAGUUUAUAUAACAAGAAUACGAAAAAAAGUUAAGUUUUUUUGUAGAGAGAGAAAAGGGUAACUAAUUAUCCUUAAUUUUGUUAAAAUAAAAGGAUUUAAGUGUAAUAAAAUAAGAUACUAAAAUAUAAUUAGUGUUUAAAAGAACAUAGUACCCUCAUUUUAAGGGUGUAUUUAUAAAUAAAAAGAAAUAAAUACUUAUUUUUUAGGUAUCUUAAAAUACUCCUCUCUUAUGUAUAGUCUAGAAAAAUUGUUACCCAACCAUUC
rnacentral:lncRNA from 1 species